AUUGAACGCUGGCGGCGUGCUUAACACAUGCAAGUCGUGCGGUAACAGGCGUAGCAAUACGUGCUGACGAGCGGCGAACGGGUGCGUAAUACAUGGGAAUCUGCCCUUUAGUGGGGAAUAACCCGGCGAAAGCCGGGCUAAUGCCGCAUAAGAUCUUCGGAUGAAAGCGGGGGAUCGUAAGACCUCGCGCUGAUGGAUGAGCCCAUGUCGGAUUAGCAGUUGGUGAGGUAACGGCUCACCAAGGCGACGAUCCGUAGCUGGUCUGAGAGGACGGUCAGCCACACUGGGACUGAGACACGGCCCAGACUCCUACGGGAGGCAGCAGUGGGGAAUAUUGGACAAGUGGGGAAACCCUGAUCCAGCGACGCCGCGUGUGUGAAGAAGGCCUGCGGGUUGUAAAGCACUUUCGGUGGGAACGAAU
rnacentral:rRNA from 1 species